CAUUUAAUUACCACCAUCCUGAAGUGUCCAGAAGGUGUUGUUUUAGAUCCAUUUCUUCUUCCCUAAGCUCUAAUUCAUGAUAUUAGCAUUCCCAGUAAUGCACUGCAUCUUCUGUUGCAACCUCCAACCUCGUGACGUCUUCGGCCGACGUUCCUGUUGCAUUCUGGGUAAUGGAAUGUUGAAACGGCCCUGGGAGCUUAGGGAACCCUUGUGGAGCUCUAAAUAAGGCCUCAACAGGCCACAGGAAGCAUUGUGCACUGAUACAAAUGGGCCAACAUAUUACUGAAGAGCUAGAAAGGAAAAAAACGCCAGGACAUCCAGAUGAUGGUAAAAACAAGCUGGGAAGAUGACGGGAACUCAGAACUCAGUCCUUCAGAGAAAAGGAUGCCACCAUGUGGCUGUGGCCUUCAUCCAGUCACUAGAGGUAGAAUUUGAUUGAAUGAAUCACCAAAGGACUGAAAUUGAGUGGAUAGAUCUUGCAAAGCUUGCUGAAUAGGCUGUAGAGCCAACUUCAAAUCUUCAAGAUUAGCUGGCUGAUCAGAUUUUGCUUUAGUGGCUGUUUUAGCUAUAUCUUGUUGUUUAACCAUUCUAGGCCUUUUUGUAUAACAUUCUUUUCCUGGACAAGCCACCACCGAAAAAUUUGUUUUGGUAGUCUGAAUAUCCAUACCUGGAUCUUUGUUUGGCAUGUUUGACUUUUUAUUUUCCUCUUAAGUAAAUAGUAGUUGACGUUUAUCACCUCGUGGCUGUGGCCUGGCAGUCAGGGUCCAUACAAUCCAGUUAAAUCUAACUUUUUUAAAGGUAUAAAUCUAUUUUUUAAUAAAUAUGCAUCAACUUAUCAGAGUUAUAAGUAGUUUGGAAGAUAUACUUAGAUUGCUUGACUGACCUCUAUACUGAUCUGCAUAGAGUUUCUCCAGGAUUUGGUCGGAGCCAAGGAUUAAUAGUGUCUACAGGAUAGCAGCCAUCUUUAACUCCCCAGCUAGUCAUUAUUUUAAUGUGGCAUUUUCUUGUUGCAGGUUUUUAUGGAGAUGUUGUGUUUAUUCAGUGUUUUCAUUUAACCCUCUGUUUUUUACAGCAAAGUGCACUUCUUCUCCUACCUUCUUUAUUUCUUGCACAACUUGAGUAUUUUUGUCAUCAUUAAAACGAUUGA